GAAUUAAUACCGCAUACGACCUACGGGAGAAAGGGGGCAGUUUACUGCUCUCGCUAUUAGAUGAGCCUAAAUCGGAUUAGCUAGAUGGUGGGGUAAAGGCCUACCAUGGCGACGAUCUGUAGCUGGUCUGAGAGGAUGAUCAGCCACACCGGGACUGAGACACGGCCCGGACUCCUACGGGAGGCAGCAGUGGGGAAUAUUGGACAAUGGGGGCAACCCUGAUCCAGCCAUGCCGCGUGUGUGAAGAAGGCCUUUUGGUUGUAAAGCACUUUAAGCAGUGAAGAAGACUCCAUGGUUAAUACCCAUGGACGAUGACAUUAGCUGCAGAAUAAGCACCGGCUAACUCUGUGCCAGCAGCCGCGGUAAUACAGAGGGUGCAAGCGUUAAUCGGAAUUACUGGGCGUAAAGCGAGCGUAGGUGGCUUGAUAAGUCAGAUGUGAAAUCCCCGGGCUUAACCUGGGAACUGCAUCUGAUACUGUUAGGCUAGAAUAGGUGAGAGGAAGGUAGAAUUCCAGGUGUAGCGGUGAAAUGCGUAGAGAUCUGGAGGAAUACCGAUGGCGAAGGCAGCCUUCUGGCAUCAUAUUGACACUGAGGUUCG
rnacentral:rRNA from 1 species